rnacentral:misc_RNA from 1 species
GAUGAAGAACGCAGUGAAAUGCGAUAAGUAAUGUGAAUUGCAGAAUUCAGUGAAUCAUCGAAUCUUUGAACGCACAUUGCGCCCGCCAGUAUUCUGGCGAGCAUGCCUGUUCGAGCGUCAUUUCAACCAUCAAGCCCCAGGCUUGUGUUGGAGCCCUGCGGCUGCCGCAGCCUCCCAAAACCAGUGGCGGGCUCGCUAUCACACCGAGUGCAGUAGUUUACUCUUCGCUCAGGGCGUGUGGCGGGUGCUAGCCGUGAAACCCCCAUCUUCUCAAGGUUGACCUCGGAUCAGGUAGGAAUACCCGCUGAACUUAAGCAUAUCAAUAAGCGGAGGA